CUCUUUGUCAUGUCAUGGUGUCAUAUUUGCCCAAGUAAUCAUUUUAUGAGCAAGUGGCGACAUCAUGGAGGUAAAGCUCACUUAUUCCAUCAUUAAACUGCACAGCUGCAGUACUACAGCCAGGCCCGCAGAUGAGGGGCUUCAGUUACCACUGUCUGCACGAGCGCAGUACCUACUCUCUGCCUGCGGGGGUCGUCUUUCCCCACCGCUCGUCUAGUGUGUCCGAAUUGGGCCAACGUUUUUAGUAUGUAGGAGUAGGAUCUAGCAGUAGCACGUAGCAGUAGCAUGUAGUAUCCGAGCGGGCAGUUCGGACGCAGCAAUAAGCUGCGUCCGAAUUGCCAAGUAGUAGUCGAAGUAGAAGUCGAAGUAGUAUCUAGCAUGUCCGAAUUGGCCACCGGAGCGAGUAGCAUGCUACUUCAGAUACUACUUCAGAUACUAGACACGCCCACAUUGUAGGUUGGUCUCGGUGCAUCCUACGGGCAUGCUACUGACCCAAAAUGCACCACGGGCUUCUUCUUCGUCCUCUUAAAAGUUGUAGAAGCGCAUGUGAUGCUAGCGCCACCAGCUGCUCUGCCUAUUUAAAUGUAUCGCGAACGCCGGCUGGCCACAACAGCGCGCACCAUGUCGCGGGACCGCA
rnacentral:lncRNA from 1 species